rnacentral:rRNA from 1 species
UACGUAGGGCGCGAGCGUUGUCCGGAAUUAUUGGGCGUAAAGAGCUCGUAGGCGGCCGGUUGCGUCUGCUGUGAAAUCCCGGGGCUUAACCCCGGGCGUGCAGUGGAUACGGGCCGGCUGGAGGCAGGCAGGGGGAGAAUGGAAUUCCCGGUGUAGCGGUGAAAUGCGCAGAUAUCGGGAGGAACACCGGUGGCGAAGGCGGUUCUCUGGGCCUGUACUGACGCUGAGGAGCGAAAGCGUGGGGAGCGAACAGG